rnacentral:rRNA from 1 species
CCUACGGGAGGCUGCAGUGAGGAAUAUUGGUCAAUGGACGAGAGUCUGAACCAGCCAAGUAGCGUGAAGGAUGACUGCCCUAUGGGUUGUAAACUUCUUUUAUAUGGGAAUAAAAUGUUCCACGUGUGGGACUUUGUAUGUACCAUAUGAAUAAGGAUCGGCUAACUCCGUGCCAGCAGCCGCGGUAAUACGGAGGAUCCGAGCGUUAUCCGGAUUUAUUGGGUUUAAAGGGAGCGUAUGUGGAUUGUUAAGUCAGUUGUGAAAGUUUGCGGCUCAACCGUAAAAUUGCAGUUGAAACUGGCAGUCUUGAGUACAUGAGAGGUGGGCGGAAUUCGUGGGGUAGCGGUGAAAUGCUUAGAUAUCACGAAGAACUCCGAUUGCGAAGGCAGCUCACUGGACUGCAACUGACACUGAGGCUCGAAAGUGUGGGUAUCAAACAGGAUUAGAUACACGGGUAGUC